rnacentral:misc_RNA from 1 species
AUAUGUAGGCAACGGCACGGGUCAAAACUCAGCUGGAUCUCCCACUUCUGGAACAAUGUGGUCGAUGCCAAAUUCGGAAACACCUUAUAGCACAACCAACUCCGCUUCACAUCAUCCCGUUUCUUCGAGAUUUGCAUUCACUCCUGCUCCUAGUUCACCUAUAACCAGUCCAUCGGUGGUUCGAUCGGACAGUAGUUUUAGUACGCCGUUGCACAGACCUAGCGGUCUUAGUUCUUACCCUUCUUAUAUGAGUCAGGAUAUCUCUCCAUGGAAUGGCUACAACAACAUUUCUCUACAGUCUGGAAUGAGAUGCUCCGUCCCUGACCAGAAUGGACAACCAGACUGGGCGUAUGCUGGAUACUGUCCUAGAGAUGGAGAUUAUUUUGCUGACAUGGAAGGUCGAGAAUGUGUCAACUGCGGGGCAAUUUCUACUCCUCUUUGGCGCCGUGACGGAACUGGACAUUAUCUGUGCAAUGCUUGUGGACUCUACCAUAAAAUGAAUGGCAUCAACCGACCCCUGAUCAAACCCCAGCGGCGAUUGGUAAGGGACACAACUCUACCAUACAGUGCAAGUCUGCAAUCGGUAUUUCCGUUUCAGUCGGGCUCCAGAAGAGCAGGACUUUCCUGCGCCAAUUGUCACACAUCAACCACAACCCUCUGGCGACGUAACAACGAAGGAGAACCUGUGUGCAAUGCCUGCGGACUAUACUUUAAAUUACAUGGGGUGAACAGACCUUUGGCCAUGAAGAAAGAUGGUAUUCAGACGAGGAAACGGAAACCGAAAAAUCUAGCUAAAUCCAAAACUCCGAUAAAAUCCGAACCAUCCCUCAACGCAUCACCUCCUGAGAAAUACGAUGGAAUGAACUUAAACCAACGUGGAAAACAGAUAUAGAUACUAUUUCAAUACUGUGAAGUAUUUCAAUGCGGCACUCUCUACUAAGGCUCUCUCCCUCAAUUGCCUCCCACAAACAACAAUAAAACCGAAACGUCGAACACACAAAAAAAAAAACGCCUCUUGAGUAAUAUGAUGGGCUAAUGUUAAAAAUUCCAGAUGGAUUUGAACUCACAACGUGAAAGACAGAUACUGUUUCAAUACCGACGUGAAGACAUCAGGCAGUCCUCCUACCUUGCAUGGUCACAACCAACACAGUCCAAUUACAACCAGUCUAAAUAAUGGUACG